rnacentral:rRNA from 1 species
AGUGAACGCUGGCGGUAGGCCUAACACAUGCAAGUCGAACGGCAGCACAGUAAGAGCUUGCUCUUACGGGUGGCGAGUGGCGGACGGGUGAGGAAUACAUCGGAAUCUACUUUUUCGUGGGGGAUAACGUAGGGAAACUUACGCUAAUACCGCAUACGACCUACGGGUGAAAGCAGGGGAUCUUCGGACCUUGCGCGAUUGAAUGAGCCGAUGUCGGAUUAGCUAGUUGGCAGGGUAACGGCCCACCAAGGCGACGAUCCGUAGCUGGUCUGAGAGGAGGAUCAGCCACACUGGAACUGAGACACGGUCCAGACUCCUACGGGAGGCAGCAGUGGGGAAUCUUGGGCAAUGGGCGCAAGCCUGAUCCAGCCAUACCGCGUGAGUGAAGAAGGCCUUCGGGUUGUAAAGCCCUUUUGUUGGGAAAGAAAAGAAGCAGGUUAAUACCCCGCUGUUCUGACGGUACCCAAAGAAUAAGCACCGGCUAACUUCGUG